rnacentral:rRNA from 1 species
CAUAAUCAUUAGCUCUUUUAAUUGAAAGCUUGUAUGAACGGUUAAACAAAAGAGGUUCUGUCUACUUUUUUAGAGUUUGAAUUUAACUUUUAAGUGAAAAGGCUUAAAUUAUUCAAAGGGACGAUAAGACCCUAUAAAGCUUUAUAAGUGAUAAAAAUUUAAUGAAUUUUAUAAUAAAAAAAGGUUUUUAUUACUUAUUAUGUUGGGGCGACACGGAUAUAAUUCAAGGUAACUGUUAGAGAGAACAACAUAAAAUUUAUGAAACUUAUGAUCCUUAAUAAAGAUUUAAAGACAAAGUUACUUUAGGGAUAACAGCGUUAUUGUUUUUGAGAGUUCCUAUCGAAAAAAGAGUUUGCGACCUCGAUGUUGAAUCAUAAGAUCUUUGUAAUGUAGCAGUUAUAUAAG